rnacentral:lncRNA from 1 species
GUAUGUAGAUAAACCCCUCCACCUUUUUCCAAAAACUUUCAAUUGAAGUCUUCAAAAUUAUCGAAUUCAAUAACUAUAAUCAAGGAUUGUAUCCAAAGACUACAUAAAAGUAAUUUACAGAACUUCAACAUCAAAUUAACCGAGCAUCAAACCCAAGACAAAUCUGUUGACUUCCAAACUAGCCGAGAACGAAAAAUCAAGCCAUUGACAUAAUAACGCAAUUAUGCCCCAAAUACAACGUAAUUACCAAACCCCCAAAAACUAGCACGCAGAUUAAUCAAGUCGCCGAAAAAAGAAAAACCCAGAAACCAAAAGCAACAAGGAAGAAAACCCAAAUCA